rnacentral:lncRNA from 1 species
CAAAGAGCAAUAUUUGUGUUUCAGCUGGUGAAUGAAUAUAAUAAAACACGUUGACCCAUUGAAUCCAUCCUGCUUCAGCAAGCUUGAGGAAUCUAAGUGCCAGGAUGACAAAUCAAGAAUGCUCGAGUAUGCGCUGUGUGGAAAUCCAAUCCAAGCUAAAGCUACUUUGGGCCUCUCCCUCGCCGUGUGCCCUUUGUAAAGCAGGAUUUGGUGUAAAUGCUCCUCUCCUGAUCUGUUUCGUACUCAACGUCAACCCGUAACGGGGCAGCCACCGACAACUGCCUGGAGAUUAGCUGGCACACCAGCUUAAACCCACAGACUUGCUCAAAUGAAGCUCAUUUUAAAACAGUCCUAUGGAUUUUCCUGAAGACUGGCAGAUUAUUUGGAAGAAUCCCGUUAAAAGGAUCUGUGUUUGAAUGUUCCAUGUCAUACCUCUGUCAAUCACCCUGGGCAUUUGCAAAUCCUGUCAUGUCUGCAAAGGAUGUGGUAUUGCCGGUCACACUAAAUGCAAUGUAGGAAGGAAGUGUCUGAAAUGUAAAACAUUAAAUGUAAAACCAUAUACAUAAUUAUAGAGUGGUAAAAGUAGCUCUGAAAUACAUUUGGCUUCCUGCAAUGGAUGAAUGUAUUAUUUUACAUUUAUUUAAGUGGGUGAUUUGUAUGAAUAGAUGUUUAAACUUAAUGGUAUUUUUAAUAAAACUAAU